rnacentral:tRNA from 1 species
GGGGAUGUGGCUCAGUGGUAGAGCGCUUGCCUAAGCAUGCUUGAGGUCUUGGGUUCAAUACCCAAUAACACAA